AUCCCCUUAGCGUAAUGGAUAGUGCGUUGAACUCCUAAUUCAAAAGUCGUGGCUUCGAAUCCCACAUAGGAGA